GAUGUCUGGAUAACUGUGGCAAUUCUAGAGCUAAUACAUGCAAUCAAGCUCCAACCUUCGUGGGACGAGCGCUCUUAUUAGACCAAGGCCAACCUGCUGGGCAACUGGCAGUUAGCUGUGGUGACUCUGGAUAAACACAGUUGAUCGCACGACUUUACGUCGGCGACGUAUCUUUCAAGCGUAUGCCCUAUCAGCUGUCGACGGUAGGGUAGCGGCCUACCGUGGCAUCAACGGGUAACGGGGGAUCAGGGUCCGAUCCCGGAGAGUAAGCCUGAGAGACGGCUUACACAUCUAAGGAAGGCAGCAGGCGCGCAAAUUACCCAAUGGGGAAACCCUGAGGUAGUGACAAGAAAUAACAAUACGCGACUCUUUCGAGGCCGCGUAAUUGGAAUGAGCACAGUCUAAAUCCUUUAGCGAGGAUCAAUUGGAGGGCAAGUCUGGUGCCAGCAGCCGCGGUAAUUCCAGCUCCAAUAGCGUAUAUUAAAGUUGCUGCAGUUAAAAAGCUCGUAGUUGACAAUCGGCGCUCGUCUCGGUGGUCCUG
rnacentral:rRNA from 1 species